GAUGGUAAAGCACUAGCUGCUCAGGUUAGAAAGCAUCUCAUAAAAUGUUGCAGGCUUUGGAUUUUACCAAUACCAUAAUUAUAUCUUAUAUCUUUUGUUAGAUGCUGAAAUGUCUCUUGGCACUUUUAUUACUGCUUUUGUCCGGCUGCCUAAAAUAUCAAUCUAAUGCUUAUUUAUAUACUGCAGCUUUCAGAGCCAUCUGG
rnacentral:misc_RNA from 1 species